UGGGUCAGGCUCUGCCAGUCCUCUUCUAAUAAGGUCAGCAGGAAGGCCCUCCAAGUCGAAUCUCCACCAAUCUCUAUAGGCAGAUUGAGUAAUCUCCAUGCAGUAUUUUUCUGGAGUGAAGUAGGACUCGAUGAUUCCUUCUGCAUUGACCAGAACUUCACGAGCCUGUGCAUUUAUAGCCAAUGUAUCUCGCAUGUGAGGCUUAAGAAGCUUGUAAACAGGGUGCAUCACACUUAAUUGCCGGUGUGCAGCUAUUAUAAAUGGUUCCAUGCAUGUAUGAACUCGCAACCUGCAGUUUAAUUAUCAUAAAUUAAUUGAUAAUUACAACAUUUCUGUUUAAAGGAAUUGGGUUUUGCAUACCAGUGAUGAAUUAGUUGAUGGGCACCAGCAUCAUUGGAGGAAACAUGGGCUUUGGCUAGUUGCCAGAGCCAAUAAGUGGUAUCAUCGACAGGAGGGGUAACAACCUGCCUAGAUGGUGAAUUCAUAUCCAUAGGUGGAAGGCUGAGUUCAAUGGCAAUGGGUUUCAAUGUUCCCAAUGGAGUCAAGAAAAAUAUUGUACGGGUUGCAUGAGCUUUCCUUUCACCAAGAGCAUUUAUGCGAUUCAGAAAUGGAAGGUAGAUAUCAUGGUAGUCCAGAAUGAACAACUUUUUCUCUUCUAAUGCCUGAUAAGUAUGGAAUUUAACAAUGUAAAGUUUGGGAAAAUGAUGUGCUUGUACAAGAAAAACAAG
rnacentral:misc_RNA from 1 species